UACGUAGGGGGCUAGCGUUGUCCGGAAUCAUUGGGCGUAAAGCGCGUGUAGGCGGUCCGGUAAGUCCGCUGUGAAAGUCGGGGGCUCAACCCUCGGAUGCCGGUGGAUACUGUCGGGCUAGAGUGCGGAAGAGGCGAGUGGAAUUCCUGGUGUAGCGGUGAAAUGCGCAGAUAUCAGGAGGAACACCUAUUGCGAAGGCAGCUCGCUGGGACGUAACUGACGCUGAGACGCGAAAGCGUGGGGAGCAAACAGG
rnacentral:rRNA from 1 species